UACGGGGGGGGCAAGCGUUGUUCGGAAUUACUGGGCGUAAAGGGCGCGUAGGCGGCCUGCUAAGUCGGAUGUGAAAUCCCUCGGCUCAACCGAGGAACUGCAUCCGAUACUGGCGGGCUUGAAUCCGGGAGAGGGAUGUGGAAUUCCAGGUGUAGCGGUGAAAUGCGUAGAUAUCUGGAGGAACACCGGUGGUGAAGGCGGCAUCCUGGACCGGCAUUGACGCUGAGGCGCGAAAGCGUGGGGAGCGAACCGG
rnacentral:rRNA from 1 species